AUUGAACGCUGGCGGCAGGCUUAACACAUGCAAGUCGAGCGAGCGGCGGACGGGUGAGUAAUGUCUGGGAAACUGCCUGAUGGAGGGGGAUAACUACUGGAAACGGUAGCCAAUACCGCAUACCCUCAGUGUUGCCCAGAAGGGAUUAGCUGGUAGGGGGGGUAAUGGCUCACCUGGGCGACGAUCCCCAGCGGGUCUGAGGGGCUGACCAGCCACCCUGGAACUGAGACACGGUCCAGACUCCUACGGGAGGCAGCAGUGGGGAAUAUUGCACAAUGGGCGCAAGCCUGAUGCAGCCAUGCCGCGUGUGUGAAGAAGGCCUUCGGGUUGUAAAGCACUUUCAGCGAGGAGGCGUUACUCGCAGAAGAAGCACCGGCUAACUCCGUGCCAGCAGCCGCGGUAAUUC
rnacentral:rRNA from 1 species